GACACUGUGAGAGGAACACGCAGGCGCAGUUAUAUAUCCGGGUUAUUUUAGCCGAUUUACAGGAUUAAUAUUGUUUGUAUGUUGUAAUGGAUCAAUUCUAUAAAUAUCCAGUGUAUUGACAUAAUAUCGAUGACACAGGAAUGAAUGAAUGAAGCUCCGCGCUGCUGGCGGCCCGCUGAGCGCAGACAUGUUCGGGACUUGUCCUGAGUCAGUCACGGGAUUAUGAGUCAGCGGCGCUCUGAAUAGAGUCAGUUUCACUUCUGCUCUCAGUCAGACGGAGGCCACGGACAGUGACAAUGCAGAGUCAGAAAACCAGCCAGAACUCCACUGGGUCCAGUACCACCCAGAAACUGGUUCUCCCACAGGUCAGGUACCAUCCCUCCAUCCAAAUGCCGGUUGGAGGAGCCAAAACCA